UUAGGAAAUGCCUUUGUACUGCAGUGGACCAAUAAUAAUGGCUGAGGAGGAGGAGGAGAAGGAAGAGGGAGGGAUGUACACCUUUCAUAGGAAGCUCAGUCACAGCAAACAGGAGUCACUGAGGAGCUCUGUGCCUUGUCUUCAGAGGCCGUGGUGCUGAGUGAGUCUCCGAGGCUGUGUCUGGUGUGUGACGAGCAGGUGGAGCAACACGCAGCCUUACGGAAGGAGUGGUAUGGGUGACGCAGAGGCUCUCACUCAGGUGGUGCUGCCCGUGGCCUACCAGUUCAACCCACAGCUGGUCCUGGUCACUGCCAGCCUUGAUGCUGGUGCGGGGACCCACUUGGAGGUUGCCGCGCGAGUCCCGAUUGCUUUGGACAUAUGAUGGCCCUUCUGUCUGGCCUGGCCGAGGGCCGCAUGGUUCUGGCACUGGAGGGCGGCUUCAACCUCACCACCAUCAGCUACUGUAUGACGCUGUGUGCCAAGGCCUUGCUGGGGGAUCUGCUGCCCCCCCUUGAGCCCCAGCUGGUGCCCAACAAGUGCCGUGCAGACCACCAAUGGGGUCAUCCGUACCCACAGCCGCUACUGGCUGGCGCUCUGC